rnacentral:lncRNA from 1 species
UGAGCUUUUAAUGCUUCUUUGAUUACAAGUUGUUGGAUUAACAAUUCUUCGCUUCGUUCCAUUCUCUUGAUAGAAUGUCUGCGAGUACGUUCUUUUCUCCUUUGAUGUGAGAAAUUGAGUAAUUAUAUUCGGCUAAUUUCAUCUGCCAUCGAAUAAGUCUUCCUUGUUUAUAAGUUCCUUUAUGAUUUAUGUUCUUGAAUCCUGCAACAUAAGUAGAAUCGGUUCUUACAAUAAAUUCUUUGUCAAGCACAUAUAUUCGAUGUUUUUCUAACAUUCGAAUUACUGCUAAUGUUUCUUUUUCAUGAGUAGGAUAAUUAAUUUCACUGUCUGAAAAAGUUCCAGACAUGUAUCUGCAUAAUAGUUCUUUCUUUUGUCCAGGAGGUUUUGCUUUCAUAACUCCUCCCCA